rnacentral:ncRNA from 2 species
ACUAUAUCUAGUGUUCGAGGUUCUUUCGAUUCGCAUGGGUCGAAAGCUAAGAUGGGAAUUCGGUGCGCGACGCUCAUGAUGAGUGCGCAAUGCCGGAGCUGCCCCCGCAACUGUAAGCGGCGAGCAUCCGCUCAAAUCAGCCACUGACGCCGGAAGGCGUCGGGAAGGCGAGUUGGAUGCUGCGACCCGUGAGCCAGGAGACCUGCCUCAAAACGAAAACGUCC